AUUGAACGCUGGCGGCGUGCUUUACACAUGCAAGUCGAACGGCAGCACGGGACUCAGGCAACUGAGCCCUGGUGGCGAGUGGCAAACGGGUGAGUAAUACUUCGGAACGUACCUUCUAAUGGGGGAUAACUACUCGAAAGAGUGGCUAAUACCGCAUAUGUCUAAGGAUGAAAGCGGGGGAUCGUAAGACCUCGCGUUAGUUGAGCGGCCGAAGCAAGAUUAGGUAGUUGGUGAGGUAAAGGCUCACCAAGCCUGCGAUCUUUAGCUGGUCUGAGAGGACGAUCAGCCACACUGGAACUGAGACACGGUCCAGACUCCUACGGGAGGCAGCAGUGGGGAAUUUUGGACAAUGGGGGCAACCCUGAUCCAGCAACGCCGCGUGAGUGAAGAAGGCCUUCGGGUUGUAAAGCUCUUUUGUUAGGGAAGAAAUCUUCUAGGCUAAUACCUUGGGAGGAUGACGGUACCUAAAGAAUAAGCACCGGCUAACUACGUGCCAGCCGCCGCCGUAAUAC
rnacentral:rRNA from 1 species